GAUGAACGCUGGCGGCGUGCCUAAUACAUGCAAGUCGAACGCAUAGCGAAAGGUGCUUGCACCUUUCAAGUGAGUGGCGAACGGGUGAGUAACACGUGGACAACCUGCCUCAAGGCUGGGGAUAACAUUUGGAAACAGAUGCUAAUACCGAAUAAAACUUAGUGUCGCAUGACACAAAGUUAAAAGGCGCUUCGGCGUCACCUAGAGAUGGAUCCGCGGUGCAUUAGUUAGUUGGUGGGGUAAAGGCCUACAAAGGCAAUGAUGCAUAGCCGAGUUGAGAGACUGAUCGGCCACAUUGGGACUGAGACACGGCCCAAACUCCUACGGGAGGCUGCAGUAGGGAAUCUUCCACAAUGGGCGAAAGCCUGAUGGAGCAACGCCGCGUGUGUGAUGAAGGCUUUCGGGUCGUAAAGCACUGUUGUAUGGGAAGAACAGCUAGAAUAGGAAAUGAUUUUAGUUUGACGGUACCAUACCAGAAAGGGACGGCUAAAUACGUG
rnacentral:rRNA from 1 species